AGGAAAAUAGUUAACUAUAACAUUUGACUUGCAUUCAAAAAGUAUUGAACACUCAAUUUUUCUUA
rnacentral:tRNA from 1 species